rnacentral:rRNA from 1 species
UACGUAGGGUCCGAGCGUUGUCCGGAAUUAUUGGGCGUAAAGAGCUCGUAGGCGGUUUGUCGCGUCUGCUGUGAAAUCCCGAGGCUCAACCUCGGGUCUGCAGUGGGUACGGGCAGACUGGAGUGCGGUAGGGGAGAAUGGAAUUCCUGGUGUAGCGGUGGAAUGCGCAGAUAUCAGGAGGAACACCGAUGGCGAAGGCAGUUCUCUGGGCCGUAACUGACGCUGAGGAGCGAAAGCGUGGGGGGAGCGAACAGG